rnacentral:rRNA from 1 species
UACGGGGGGGGCAAGCGUUGUUCGGAAUUACUGGGCGUAAAGGGCUCGUAGGCGGCCAACUAAGUCAGACGUGAAAUCCCCAGGCUCAACCUGGGAACUGCGUCUGAUACUGGAUGGCUUGAAUCCGGGAGAGGGAUGCAGAAUUCCAGGUGUAGCGGUGGAAUGCGUAGAUAUCUGGAGGAACACCAGUGGCGAAGGCGACUACCUGGCCCAUUCUUGACGCUGAGGCGCGAAAGCUAGGGGAGCGAACGGG